GCUUACUGGCCUGGAGACUGUAGAGAUGGAGUCAUUUCCUUAAGUUUUAACAGCUUAGUACUUUUCAGUGCGAGAUUUUUAAACUGUGUUUCCAAAGUUAUGGUGGUGUGGUUUCUUUUAGGUAAUAUCAUUGUUGUAAGUCUCCUGUGAAAUAGUACCUACUGUACAGUGGUAGGUGUUUGCUACUAAUUCUGGCAUUUCCAAACCUGACAGCUUGACUCCACAGUUGUAAUAAUGACUUUUUUAUUAUUUUUGUCCAAGUAUUUACAUAUAUAGAACCAUUAAAGUUGGAAAAGACCACUGAGAUCACCUAGUCCAACAGUCAACCCGUCACCACAAUGCCCACUGAAUCAUCUGUGUGUUUCCUGAAAAUUUAAUGUUGCCUCAAACUGUAACUACUUCUGUAGGGCUGUUUCCGGGACAACAGAGGUUAAAACAGGCUGCAGCCUGCUUUUCUGUACUUAAUGAGGCACUCUCCAUCACUGCUGCGGAAGGAAGCUCUUUAAGACUCAUAAGCUGUAACUUGAGCAGAAAUUGGAGCUUUGCACAGGGAUGGAUGUAAGCUGGGUUACGAUCUCCCGUGCCUCCUUCAGCAACCGGGUGCCUCCGAUGAACGCUGCCCGGCCAUUGCAAUUUGCCAUGCUUGAGUUCUUCCUUCGCUUUCUCCCUGGGGAUUAAUAUCCGUUAUGGCAACAUCCUGGUUUCCUGUGCAAAGUGCUUUUGGGACAGCAAUUCCCCAUCAUCCUUUGUAGCAAAGAACAGAUCAAAAGCAAUACCUCUCGAAAUACGCCCACGCGUGUGCUAUUGCAUCAAUACUGCUUUGUUCACUGGUACUCAGUGCUCCGCUUUGUGCCAGAAAGUGAUGACAUUUAGUAAUAGUGUAGACACUGCGUGGCAAAAAUAGCCAGAAGUUUUAUAGAUCUUUUCCACUCUUAAAUGCUGAAGAAAGCAUGCUGUCCUUUGGUUUUUAAUAAAACGAUGUCCUAGGUCACAUUGUCUGCUGGAAUUUGUGUUUUUUCAUUGCUCAGUGUAUGUGGGCUUCCCUCUGUAUGAUGUGCAACAGACAAGCAGCAGGCAAAAUGACAGCAAUGAAAGGAAGGAGCAGAACUGAUAGUAUACAAGCGCUCUAACUGAAUGAAAACAUAUUUCUGUUCUUAUUCCAUUCGUGUGGAGGUGACCCGAGAUGACAGAUGUGUCUGGAUAGAAAUAAAACCCAGGCUGGUUGUAUUUGCCCAGCCUGGGAAGGUUCUUAUGCUGCAGAAGCUUGUGUAAAGGGGGAAGGGGUGAGAACUAGCUAUAACAUGUGUCUCUAAACACAAAGCAAU
rnacentral:lncRNA from 1 species